CGAUGAUCCGGUGCUUGCACCGGGGAUUAGUGGCGAACGGGUGAGUAACACGUGAGUAACCUGCCCUUGACUCUGGGAUAAGCCUGGGAAACUGGGUCUAAUACCGGAUAUGACUCCUCAUCGCAUGGUGGGGGGUGGAAAGCUUUUGUGGUUUUGGAUGGACUCGCGGCCUAUCAGCUUGUUGGUGAGGUAAUGGCUCACCAAGGCGACGACGGGUAGCCGGCCUGAGAGGGUGACCGGCCACACUGGGACUGAGACACGGCCCAGACUCCUACGGGAGGCAGCAGUGGGGAAUAUUGCACAAUGGGCGCAAGCCUGAUGCAGCGACGCCGCGUGAGGGAUGACGGCCUUCGGGUUGUAAACCUCUUUCAGUAGGGAAGAAGCGAAAGUGACGGUACCUGCAGAAGAAGCGCCGGCUAACUACGUGCCAGCAGCCGCGGUAAUACGUAGGGCGCAAGCGUUAUCCGGAAUUAUUGGGCGUAAAGAGCUCGUAGGCGGUUUGUCGCGUCUGCCGUGAAAGUCCGGGGCUCAACUCCGGAUCUGCGGUGGGUACGGGCAGACUAGAGUGAUGUAAGGGAGACUGGAAUUCCUGGUGUAGCGGU
rnacentral:rRNA from 1 species